rnacentral:rRNA from 1 species
UACGAAGGGGGCUAGCGUUGCUCGGAAUUACUGGGCGUAAAGGGCGCGUAGGCGGCACUGUUAGUCAGGCGUGAAAGUCCUGGGCUCAACCUGGGAACUGCGCUUGAUACGGCAGAGCUAGAGGAUGGAAGAGGCUCGCGGAAUUCCCAGUGUAGAGGUGAAAUUCGUAGAUAUUGGGAAGAACACCGGUGGCGAAGGCGGCGACCUGGUCCAUUACUGACGCUGAGGCGCGACAGCGUGGGGAGCAAACAGG